rnacentral:rRNA from 1 species
GACGAACGCUGGCGGCGUGCUUAAAACAUGCAAGUCGAACGGGCUACUUCGGUAGUCUAGUGGCGAACGGCUGAGUAACACGUGAGUGACCUGUCCUUGGGUGGGGGAUAACACCCCGAAAGGGGUGCUAAUACCGCAUGUGACCUCUGGGGUAGAGCCUGGAGGGGAAAGGUAUUUCGCCCGAGUGAGGGGCUCGCGGCCCAUCAGGUAGUUGGUGGGGUAAAGGCUCACCAAGCCAACGAUCUGUAGCUGGUCUGAGAGGACGACCAGCCACACUGGGACUGAGACACGGCCCAGACUCCUACGGGAGGCAGCAGUGGGGAAUUUUGGACAAUGGGCGCAAGCCUGAUCCAGCAAUGCCGCGUGCAGGAAGAAGGCCUUCGGGUUGUAAACUGCUUUUGUACGGAGCGAAAAGGCUCCCUCUAAUACAGGGGGCUCAUGACGGUACCGUAAGAAUAAGCACCGGCUAACUACGUGCCAGCAGCCGCCGUAAUAC